rnacentral:rRNA from 1 species
AUUGAACGCUGGCGGCAUGCCUUACACAUGCAAGUCGAACGGCAGCACGGGAGCAAUCCUGGUGGCGAGUGGCGAACGGGUGAGUAAUAUAUCGGAACGUGCCCAGUCGUGGGGGAUAACGUAGCGAAAGCUACGCUAAUACCGCAUACGAUCUACGGAUGAAANCGGGGGAUCGCAAGACCUCGCGCGAUUGGAGCGGCCGAUAUCAGAUUAGGUAGUUGGUGAGGUAAAGGCUCACCAAGCCGACGAUCUGUAGCUGGUCUGAGAGGACGACCAGCCACACUGGGACUGAGACACGGCCCAGACUCCUACGGGAGGCAGCAGUGGGGAAUUUUGGACAAUGGGCGCAAGCCUGAUCCAGCAAUGCCGCGUGCAGGAUGAAGGCCUUCGGGUUGUAAACUGCUUUUGUACGGAACGAAACGGUGAGCUCUAAUACAGUUUGCUAAUGACGGUACCGUAAGAAUAAGCACCGGCUAACUACGUG